rnacentral:rRNA from 1 species
GUGUUCAUAGAGCAGUGGCCCCACCCCAUCCCAUUCCGAACUGGGUCGUGAAACGCUGUUUCGUCAAUGGUACUCGGCGAGUGAUCGCCUGGGAGAGUAG